CAUGGAGCCACUCUGCAGGCUGAUUGUGCAGAGGAGCCCAGGAAGGCCAAAGAAAUGGUCUCCAUGAAGUACACCUUGCCACCUCAACUCCUACUGUCUAAAAUGUUAACUGUCAAGUCUCUACUCUGGCCUGUGCCUGUCCAGAGGGCUCUCAUGAAGGUUCUCAUGAAAGGAAUCUCUGUACGAUCCAAGAAAAGCAAAGAAUAGCACCUGAAUUAUCUCAAAGUUUCAACACAAGACAGUAUAUAACUACGGUUCAAUUGUACCUACCAUAUGUCCCAAACAAUAUGCAUUAGCUCCUUCCUCCAACAACUCUUUUCCUGACUUCUUCUCUAGGUCCAGGACAUCACCAUCAGUAACUUGUAUUAAUUCUUCACUUCCUCACACACUAGACAUUCAGUGACCAUCUCCUCUUAUUUCUACAAGUAUCUCUUAAAUUGAAUCUCUCAUCUCCAUCUCUAUACUUCAAUAUCCUCAUUCUCUCUCUCUCUCACACACACACACAUAUACACAGUGAUGAUAUGGUUUGUGUCCCCACCCAAAUCUCAUCUUGAACUGUAGCUCCCAUAAUCCCUACAUCAUGGGAGGGACCCGGUGGGAAGUAAUUGAAUCAUGGGAGCAGGUUUUCUCAUGCUGUUCUCGUGACAGUGAAUAAGUCUCACGAGGUCUGAUGGUUUGAUAAAGGGGAGUUCCCCUGCACAUGCUCUCUUGCCUGCCACCAUGUAAGACAUACCUUUGCCUUUGCCUUCCACCAUGAUUGUGGGGCCUCCCCAGCCUUGCGGAACUGCGAUUAGUUCAUUAAACCUCUUUUUUUUUUAAAUAAAUUACUCAGUCUUGGGUAUUUCUUCAUAGCAGUAUGAAAAUGGCCUGAUACAGUAAAUUGGUACUGGUAGAGUGGGAUAAU
rnacentral:lncRNA from 10 species